rnacentral:rRNA from 1 species
CCAGCAGCUGCGGUAAUUCCAGCUCCAAUAGCGUAUAUUAAAGUUGUUGCAGUUAAAAAGCUCGUAGUUGAAUUUCUGGUAGGGUGCCAAUGUCCGCCGCCGUGCGUGCGCAGCGGCGCCCUUCCAUCCUUCUGUCAACGCUUCUUGGCAUUCGUUUGCUGGUAGCGGGCUCAGAUAUUUUACCUUGAGAAAAUUAGAGUGUUUCAGGCAGGCUAGGCCGGAAUACAUUAGCAUGGAAUAAUAGAAUAGGACUUUUGCCUCUUCUGUUGGUCAUGGGGUUCGAGUAAUGAUUAAUAGGGAUAGUUGGGGGCAUUAGUACUUCACUGUCAGAGGUGAAAUUCUCGGAUUUGUGAAAGACUAACUUAUGCGAAAGCAUUUGCCAAGGAUGUUUUCAUCAAUCAAGAACGAAAGU